rfam:Ictidomys tridecemlineatus contig106979, whole genome shotgun sequence.
GGAGAUGUGGCUCAAGCGGUAGGGCGCUUGCCUGGCAUGCUUGCAGCCUGGGUUCGAUCCUCAGCACCA